CGGCGCCCACGUGGGACGGAUCCAUUACACGCGUGGGGGCGGGGACGCCAGCUUUACCCCAACCCCCUUUCGCAGGGCGGCGGACCGACGCUUCCGCUCCAACCAAUCAGCGCCAAAGAUAGGCAGCCUCCCUCCUCCCCUUUCCAGACAGAGCCUUGCCACAUUCCGCCGGGAAGCGCAAGUCGAGAGGCGGCCGGGCCUUGUGAUAGGGCAGGCCGCGCUGGGAUUCCACCCAAUAGUGGGGGGGGGCGGGGCGAACCCCUUGGGCAAGUAGGAGCGGGGCGAAUCCCGCCCAAGCCCGCCGGGGGGGGUGGGGUGCCCGUGUCGCGUAUCCGCGGCUGCGGCGGGAGCCCGCGCUGGGCUCGGGGGCUGCGGCCUCUGCACGCGGGGGGCGGGAUCCGCCGCUUGCCCCGACCCGUCCUCGCUCCCGCUGCGCCCGCGCCCUGCACAGCAGAGCCCGCCCCGCCCGCGCCAGCCACCCGGCUGGGAAGGCGCCCGCCACGGCGACUAACUCGGUGCGGGCUCGGAUCGCGCGGGCAGGCGCCCCACGCAGCCCGACCCCAGCCUCCGCCUCCCUGCGAGCGCGGGCAGGGGCGCGGGAUUGUGGGAGAAGGAGGGGAGCUCCGCUCGGGGGCGGGCAUCUCCCUCCCACCAGCGCGGAGGAGGCGGGGUGGGAGAGGCAGCUCCAUGUUUGCGAGCGGAUCAGCUGGGAGAGCGCAGCGCGGCUGUUGCCCGGCCCGGGGAGGGGACGCCAGCAGCUUGGGCGCGCGGCGGUCGGGCCCGGGGAUCCCCCCCGCCCCUGGUCCGGGGGCAGCUGCAGCCCGCGCCUCUCCGCCCGGCCGCACACCCACUCGCGCCCAACAAGUUUCCCGGGGGCCCCCGCGCGGCCCGGGCUCCGCUGCCGCGCAGCGUGUGCAGCCGCGCUCAGACCCCCGCCCCCGGCAGCGCCCGCCAAGCCCCGCGCAUAAACCAGCCAACCAAGCGCCUGGAGCCGCGGCCCCGGAGCGCGACGCCGCUUUGUUUAUUCCGAGCCAGGAAGCAAGGGGGAGCGCCCCGCGCACGCAGCGCCCGUCGGCCCCGGCCCCUCGGGACAGCCCCCGCGUCCGGGCGCCCCCGGGCCCACGCGCGGGAGGAAAAAGCAAAGCCCUUUUCCUGCUUUUAAUCUUCCCCCCUCGCCUCCCCUCCCGUCCUUAG
rnacentral:lncRNA from 1 species